UGGCUCAGAACGAACGCUGGCGGCAGGCUUAACACAUGCAAGUCGAGCGCCCCGCAAGGGGAGCGGCAGACGGGUGAGUAACGCGUGGGAAUCUACCCUUUUCUACGGAAUAACGCAGGGAAACUUGUGCUAAUACCGUAUGAGCCCUUCGGGGGAAAGAUUUAUCGGGAAAGGAUGAGCCCGCGUUGGAUUAGCUAGUUGGUGGGGUAAAGGCCUACCAAGGCGACGAUCCAUAGCUGGUCUGAGAGGAUGAUCAGCCACAUUGGGACUGAGACACGGCCCAAACUCCUACGGGAGGCAGCAGUGGGGAAUAUUGGACAAUGGGCGCAAGCCUGAUCCAGCCAUGCCGCGUGAGUGAUGAAGGCCCUAGGGUUGUAAAGCUCUUUCACCGGUGAAGAUAAUGACGGUAACCGGAGAAGAAGCCCCGGCUAACUUCGUGCCAGCAGCCGCGGUAAUACGAAGGGGGCUAGCGUUGUUCGGAAUUACUGGGCGUAAAGCGCACGUAGGCGGAUUGUUAAGUGAGGGGUGAAAUCCCAGGGCUCAACCCUGGAACUGCCUUUCAUACUGGCAAUCUAGAGUCCAGAAGAGGUGAGUGGAAAUUCCGAGUGUAGAGGUGAAAUUCGUAGAUAUUCGGAGGAACACCCAGUGGCGAAAGGGCGGGCUCACUGGUCUGGAACUGACGCU
rnacentral:rRNA from 1 species